GAUGAACGCUGGCGGCGUGCCUAAUACAUGCAAGUCGAGCGAACAGACGAGGAGCUUGCUCCUUCGACGUUAGCGGCGGACGGGUGAGUAACACGUAGGUAACCUACCUAUAAGACUGGGAUAACCUCGGGAAACCGGAGCUAAUACCGGAUAAUAUUUCGAACCGCAUGGUUCGAUAGUGAAAGGUGGCUUUGCUAUCACUUAUAGAUGGACCUGCGCCGUAUUAGCUAGUUGGUAAGGUAACGGCUUACCAAGGCAACGAUACGUAGCCGACCUGAGAGGGUGAUCGGCCACACUGGAACUGAGACACGGUCCAGACUCCUACGGGAGGCAGCAGUAGGGAAUCUUCCGCAAUGGGCGAAAGCCUGACGGAGCAACGCCGCGUGAGUGAUGAAGGUCUUCGGAUCGUAAAACUCUGUUAUUAGGGAAGAACAAACGUGUAAGUAACUGUGCACGUCUUGACGGUACCUAAUCAGAAAGCCACGGCUAACUACGUG
rnacentral:rRNA from 1 species